UAAUUUCUACCCCUAUAAAAUAACUCCUACCUCCUAAAAUGAAAAAAAGAGCUAGAAGAAGAGACCCCUCCUUUCAAAACAGAGACGGCGCUGCUCUCUGCCAUCUUCAAUAGAGAUGAACGACUCUCCCCUUUGGAUAACAAAAAAUCUUAGCUUUCCCUCUUCUUCUACACCCACAAGCAGUCUUCUCUAUUUACUCUUGGCCCUCUGAAAAGUAUAGUUAAGAAUAAAUUUUGCAAUUCAAAAGCUCUACCUUAUACUUGAAAGAGCAAAAAUUCCGAAAGAAGAAAGAAAACAAACGAAAAUAGGACAGAAAAGGAAUUUCUGCAAUUAUUACGUAAGCAACCUCCACUUCCAUCGAGAUGUUGUGAGUUCGAUUCUCCCCAAGAGCAAGGUGGGAAAUUCUUGGAAGGAAGGAUGCCGGUGGUCUAUUUGGCUCGAUCCCAGGUAGGGGUAAGGUCUGUGUACAUACUACCCUCUUCAGACCCCAUUAAAUGAGAUUAUACUGAGUUGUUAUUAUUACGUAUGUCUUCUAUUAACUUGUAUUUAUUUUUUCAGAUUUGGCUUAGUAUAAAGGUUCAUCUUAUUGUGUCAUUGAAGUUCAUGUUAUUCCUGCUCAAGUUUCAAGACUACGUUGAUGUUUGAUGUCUUUCCGUACUCCAAAUUUGUGCACAAAAAAUGCAAAGAAAGUGAUAUUUUCCCUUUUUGGUCGCUUUUUUUUUUUACUUCUUAAAAUUUAAAAUCUAUUAGUUAUUUUGAAGAAUAUUGUUGCACCUCUGCUGCUCUAAUGAACGCCGUAGAUGCAAAUAUAUCAAAUUUUAACAUUGUUGAUUUUAUUAUGCUUUAGUAUUUAAUGUUCUUUUGCCACCUUAUCCCCCAGGAGAGUAGAAGCUAUGUUACGACUACCGAUUGAAUCUAAGUGAAGAUUUUCAAUUAAUAUUAUCUCCUGGUAUUGUUGAAACAGAUCCACGCUAGGCAG
rnacentral:lncRNA from 1 species